GACGAACGCUGGCUGCGUGCUUAACACAUGCAAGUCGAACGCUGAAACCCUGGUGCUUGCACCGGGGUGGAUGAGUGGCGAACGGGUGAGUAACACGUGAGUAACCUGCCCCCGACUUCGGGAUAAGCCCGGGAAACUGGGUCUAAUACCGGAUAUGAGGAUCCCUCACAUGAGGGAUGCUGGAAAGUUUUUUCGGUUGGGGAUGGGCUCGCGGCCUAUCAGUUUGUUGGUGAGGGAAUGGCUCACCAAGACGACGACGGGUAGCCGGCCUGGGAGGGCGACCGGCCACACUGGGACUGAGACACGGCCCAGACUCCUACGGGAGGCAGCAGUGGGGAAUAUUGCACAAUGGGGGAAACCCUGAUGCAGCGACGCAGCGUGCGGGAUGACGGCCUUCGGGUUGUAAACCGCUUUCAGCAGGGAAGAAGCCCCUCGGGGUGACGGUACCUGCAGAAGAAGUACCGGCUAACUACGUGCCAGCCGCCGCCGUAA
rnacentral:rRNA from 1 species